GUCCCCGUAGCUCAAUGGAUAGAGCACAUGCCUUCUAAGCCUGUUAUCCAGGUUCGAUUCCUGGCGGGGACA
rnacentral:tRNA from 1 species